rnacentral:rRNA from 1 species
AGUGACUUAARUUAAACGGCCGCGGUAUCCUGACCGUGCAAAGGUAGCAUAAUCACUUGUUCCUUAAUUAGGGACUAGCAUGAAUGGCUAAACGAAGGUUCAACUGUCUCUUAUUUUUAAUCAGUGAAAUUGACCUUUCAGUGAAGAGGCUGAAAUUUUAUAAUAAGACGAGAAGACCCUAUGGAGCUUAAAUUAAAUAAUUUAACUGUAAUUAUUAAUAAAUCUAAGGACCUAAAAACUACAGCAUAGAUUAAAAAUUUCGGUUGGGGUGACCUCGGAGAAUAAAAAAUCCUCCGAAUGAUUGUAACCUAGACUUACAAGUUAAAGUAAUAUUUAUAUCUUAUUGACCCAAAAAUACUUUGAUCAACGGACCAAGUUACCCUAGGGAUAACAGCGCAAUCCUAUUUAAGAGUUCAUAUCGACAAUUAGGGUUUACGACCUCGAUGUUGGAUCAGGACAUCCCAAUGGUGCAGAAGCUAUUAAUGGUUCGUUUGUUCAAC